rnacentral:rRNA from 1 species
CGUGGCAUACGGCUCAGUAACACGUAGUCAACAUGCCCAGGGGACGUGGAUAACCUCGGGAAACUGAGGAUAAACCGCGAUAGGUCAUAGUAUCUGGAAUGAUUUAUGGCUCAAAUCUACAUGGCCUCUAGAUUGGACUGCGGCCGAUCAGGCUGUUGGUGAGGUAAUGGCCCACCAAACCUAAAACCGGUACGGGCUCUGAGAGGAGAAGCCCGGAGAUGGGCACUGAGACAAGGGCCCAGGCCCUAUGGGGCGCAGCAGGCGCGAAAACUCUGCAAUAAGCGAAAGCUUGACAGGGUUAUUCUGAGUGAUUUCCGCUAAGGAAAUCUUUUGGCACCUCUAAAAAUGGUGCAGAAUAAGGGGUGGGCAAGCCUGGUGUCAGCCGCCGCGGUAAUACCAGCACCCCGAGUGGUCGGGACGAUUAUUGGGCCUAAAGCAUCCGUAGCCGGUUCUACAAGUCUUCCGUUAAAUCCACCUGCUCAACAGAUGGGCUGCGGAGGAUACUAUAGAGCUAGGAGGCGGGAGAGGCAAGCGGUACUUAGUGGGUAGGGGUAAAAUCCGUUGAUCCAUUGAAGACCACCAGUGGCGAAGGCGGCUUGCCAGAACGCACUCGACGGUGAGGGAUGAAAGCUGGGGGAGC